UACGGAGGGUGCGAGCGUUGUCCGGAAUCACUGGGCGUAAAGGGCUCGUAGGCGGCCGACUAAGUCCGACGUGAAAUCCCAAAGCUUAACUUUGGAACUGCCGUCGGAUACUGGAUGGCUUGAAUUCGGGAGAGGGAUGCAGAAUUCCAGGUGUGAGCGGUGAAAUGCGUAGAUAUCUGGAGGAAUACCGGUGGCGAAGGCGGCAUCCUGGACCGACAUUGACGCUGAGGAGCGAAAGCUAGGGGAGCAAACGGGGAUUAAGA
rnacentral:rRNA from 1 species